GUUCUUGCUUCAGCAGCACAUAUACUAAAAUCAGAACGAUACAGAGAAGAUUAGCAUGGCCUCUGUGCAAGGAUGACAUGCAAAUGUGUGAUGCAUUCCACAUUUUA
rnacentral:snRNA from 1 species